UACGAAGGGAGCUAGCGUUGUUCGGAAUCACUGGGCGUAAAGCGCACGUAGGCGGAUGUGUCAGUCAGGGGUGAAAUCCCGGAGCUCAACUUCGGAACUGCCUUUGAUACAGCACGUCUUGAGUCCGAUAGAGGUGGGUGGAAUUCCUAGUGUAGAGGUGAAAUUCGUAGAUAUUAGGAAGAACACCGGUGGCGAAGGCGGCCCACUGGAUCGGUACUGACGCUGAGGUGCGAAAGCCAGGGGAGCAAACGGG
rnacentral:rRNA from 1 species